GAGUUUGAUUCUGGCUCAGGGUGAACGCUAGCGGUGCGCCUAACACAUGCAAGUCGAGCGGGAGUGGAAGAGAAGCUUGCUUCUUUUUUACAAUAGCGGCGAACGGGUGAGUAACACGUUGGAACCUGCCCCCAAGUCAGGGAUAGCCUAGGGAAACCUGGGAUAAUACCGGAUAGUCUCUUUGGAGUAAAGAUUUAUUGCUUGGGGAGGGGCCUGCGAUCUAUCAGCUAGUUGGUGUGGUAAAGGCACACCAAGGCGAUGACGGAUAACUGGUCUGAGAGGAUGAUCAGUCACAAUGGAACUGAGACACGGUCCAUACUCCUACGGGAGGCAGCAGUGAGGAAUCUUCCACAAUGGACGAAAGUCUGAUGGAGCGACACCGCGUGAAGGAAGAAGGCCUAACGGUUGUAAACUUCUUUUCUGAAGGAGCAUAAU
rnacentral:rRNA from 1 species